rnacentral:lncRNA from 1 species
GGAAGUCGUAACUACUGAGGACAUAAAAUCUAGCAAAAACAAUGACAUCUAAACCUAAGGAACUGUUUUCAAUUCACUUCAAGGCUCCCCAGAAGGCUUUAUCUAGUGUCCCUUGGUGUUUGUCCCACAGCUAAGGUUGUCAACCAGAAGACUACACACCAGAAACCUAUGCUUAGACAUCUUUACAGAACCCAUGAUUUACAGAACCAUCAUACAUUCUCCAUGUAACAUGAGAAGUUACAAUGACUGUAAAAGAUUCUUAUAAACAUGCAUAGGAAUUUAUUCUAUAACUUAUGACAUUGUAUAAGAACCCUAAAAAUUAAAGGAGAAAUAAGACAUAUAAAAUCAGAGAUGCACUCUGAACUCUCAUUGCUAAUGUUACAUCUGCCCGAAAACAUUCCUUCUCCUUAAGGACUAAAAGGGUUUCACAUUGAAGAUGUCCCUACAAAAAGACAAGGAAAAUGGCAGAGGAGAGCCUGAACUGAGUGACUGAUCACUGACUUCUAAUUUCAAAAAGAAUCAAGUAGUUAUACCCUAGGCGAUGCUAGUCAGUGUGGUCCUUAGACAC